rnacentral:rRNA from 1 species
UACGUAGGGGGCAAGCGUUGGUCCGGAAUUAUUGGGCGUAAAGAGCGCGUAGGCGGUCCGAUAAGUCGGCUGUGAAAGUCAGGGGCUCAACCCUUGGAAGCCGGCCGAUACUGUCGGACUAGAGUCCGGAAGAGGCGAGUGGAAUUCCCGGUGUAGCGGUGAAAUGCGCAGAGUAUCGGGAGGAACACCAAUGGCGAAGGCAGCUCGCUGGG